GCCUCGGUGGUGUAGUGGUAGCACGCAUCCCUGGUAUGGAUAAAACGCCAGUUCGUCUUCCGUCUGAGGUC